UACGUAGGGGGCGAGCGUUGUCCGAAGUUACUGGGCGUAAAGCGCGCGUAGGCGGGCUGUUAAGUGAGAGGUGAAAGGCUGGGGCUCAACUCCAGCAGUGCCUCUCAUACUGGCAGUCUUGAGGGCGGUAGAGAGAAGUGGAAUGGCUGGUGUAGCGGUGAAAUGCGCAGAUAUCAGGAGGAACACCAAUGGCGAAGGCAGCACUCUGGGACGUGACUGACGCUGAGACGCGAAAGCGUGGGGAGCAAACAGG
rnacentral:rRNA from 1 species